GACCUGGAGGUGUGUGGAGGUUGUGCCUGGCUGAGGGAAUGACAGGACUUUGGGCAGAGCUGUGCUGGGAGAGGUUGAGGGGAAUGUGAAGGAGCUCUGGGCUGGCUGCUGGGACUUCACCUGGACCAGGCUCUGAGAGCCCUUGAGGGAACCCCACUACUGUCCCCUCCCAGCUUUCUCCGCUGCACUGCUUAUCCCUUCCUGCUGGCAAGCUUCAGGCCCAUCCUGCUUCCUGGGCUCUGACACUGAGAGGAGCUGCCAUGGCUGUGCAGGGAGAUGAGUGCAGUGGACCACAUUCUGGUUGCCGGGAGAAGUGCAGUCACUCCACUGUAGUGAGUGACACCCACCCCAAGCUAUUCCAGAGGCUCUUUUGGACCCCGGACCAAACACCCGCAAAUAUUGGGGGAACUUUGCAGCAGGAUCCUGGCUUUAUGCUUUCUGUCUCUCAUCAGAUCCUGGCUCUCGAUCCUGCCCCGCACUGGGGUGAUACCACGCUGCCCUGCUCCAGCAGGAGUGCUGGGGGUGCAAUAUCUCCUAGCGCUCCCAAGCGGGAAGGAAGGGCCAGGUUUUAAAGGCAUGUAGGCACCUAACUCCAAUGGGAACCAAUGGGAGUUAGGCAGUGGUGAGCUGG